AGCAGCCGCGGUAAUUCCAGCUCCAAUAGCGUAUAUUAAAGUUGUUGCAGUUAAAAGCUCGUAGUUGAAUUUCGGGGUUAGUAGGUUGGUCAUGCCUCUGGUAUGUACUGGUCUCACUGAUUCCUCCUUCCUGAUGAACCUUAAUGCCAUUAAUUUGGUGUUUUGGGGAAUUUGGACUGUUACUUUGAAAAAAUUAGAGUGUUUAAAGCAAGCUAACGCUUGAAUACAUUAGCAUGGAAUAAUGAAAUAGGACGUUCGAUCCUAUUUUGUUGGUUUCUAGGAUUGACGUAAUGAUUAAUAGGGAUAGUUGGGGGCAUUAGUAUUCAAUUGUCAGAGGUGAAAUUCUUGGAUUUAUUGAAGACUAACUACUGCGAAAGCAUUUGCCAAGGAUGUUUUUCAUUAAUCAAGAACGAAAGUUAGGGGAUCGAAGAUGAUCAGAUACCGUCGUAGUCUUAACCAUAAACUAUGCCGACUAGGGAUCGGAUGAUGUUAAUUUUUUAAUGACUCAUUCGGCGCCUUA
rnacentral:rRNA from 1 species